UUUGAUGUCUUCUGCGUACCCAGAGAACAAGAACUACGUGGGCAACAGAAGUUUCAGACAGAAGCACUGAGCUUUGAGCAACUUUCCAUUUCAGAAGUAUUGACGUCUGUCUGAUCUACUCGAUCUGGAGGGAGUGAGUACAUAAAGGACAAGCUUCAAAGGCACCAAGAAUAGAAUCCUUGACACAUCACAUUCUGGAACCUCACCACUCACCAAGGCUGUAGUUCUGAUCCAAGCAGUGACGAAGGAGAAUCACCUCACAGUCUCUCGAGAGUGUUCCACUACAUCAUGAGCCACUUGUCUAGGAGGCGGGUGUGCACCGGGGUGAGGAGCGAACUCUUCCAACACUGACACCUCUAUAGACCUGUAUAUAAACCAUCAGUAGAUGCUUAUGAAGCAUCCAGCCUUCAUCUUAACUCAGUGACUUUGCUGUAGCACUCCAUGGCUGUUGAAAGCAGACAGCAGGUAAAGCAGAUGUAUGUGAGAUCUCAUGAAAGAUCACCCACAUCUAUUUUCUUUAGGUGCAGACAAGCCCCGAGUCUGGAAUAGGAGUAAACUGUGUGGAUCCAGUGAAUGGAGAGCUCUGAUGGGAAGAAAUAGCAGAACUAGAAGUAGAGCUGGAAAAGUGCCUGCUGUCCCUGCAGCCUUAGAUCAAUACACCACAUCCAACAAAUCCAAGAGAAGCUAAUGCAACAGCUUGAUGCAGCUAAGAAGGCGUGCGCCACCUACAGGAAGGUUUCAUUUUCACUCAGAUCCACCUGACUGCCUUGCUGCCUCAGCGGACUCCGUCAGCUGCCUUGCCAUACCUUUCCCUUGGAUUGGCUUUCCCAGAAAUCGGGCUUCUUGUGCAAACUCUAACUACUGCUUGGGACAGCCUUUUGACCUGCCGGACUUCCGGGCAUUACAAAAAUGCCCAUGUCGUAUACAUUUUGAAUAUCAUUUAUUGUUUAUUGUUUUUACAGUGCCCAAGAAUCUGACAAGCAGUUAAAGCAAGGGAUGAAGAACCCCACAGUUUAGUAGCCCAAGACAACAUGAAGUCAGGCCAAGGACAACCUCCUCAGAAGAGUCAAAAGAUGUGCAGGACAUGAAGGAUCGGAAUCAAGCAAACAUGUUAUUACUCUGUCUGAAAACGUGCUUUCUUUAAUAAACAUGUGGGCUAUCAAAAGUA